UUGUGUUUUUUCUAUUCCUCACCCAGGAUCCAACCUUGUCCAAAAACACCAACAAAUUCAUCUCUUUCCUCGUAUAAUCCGAAUCUCCCUUUCUCAUCAUAAUAAUAUAAGAUCUCUCCGUGUGUCAAAAAAUAAAAAAUAUAAGAUCUCUCUCGAUCUCUCCCAUUUCCUUUCAAUUUAGUAAUCAAAAUCUCUCAUUGAUUUUAUCUUACAAAGUACCUUUCAAUUUUAUUUUCUAUCUUCUAUAAUGGAAGCUGCGUUGGAUCAAGCUACUAGUACAUGUUCUCACUGGUAAAACACCUCAAAUUCUAUAAAAUUUAUUUGUUUUAUUUUUUUAAUCUAUGUUUUAUAUAUCUUGUUUUAUGUGAAAUUGGGAUUAUUUGUUUUGUAUGUAGAACCAUGUUAAUUGUAAUCUUAGGAACAUGAUUAUGAUUAAGAUGAUGAUUUGUUAUUUUUUUUGUUGGUUAUCAGUGAUCGAGCUAUCCCUAUUGCAAAUGUUG
rnacentral:lncRNA from 1 species